CUGGGCAGAGGCAGGUCUCAGUCCCAGGGCCUUGGGUCUGCUGCUGGGUGUGAUGAGUUAAUAAGGAGGGCAUGGUGUGCAGAAUGAGCUCGGGUCCUGGCCAUGGGACAUCUGGCCAGCACUGUGCCCCUUGGAGCCCAUCUUUCCAUGGGAUCAUUAGAGUCCUUCUCUUGCAGCUGUUGGGAGAAUGAAACACAAGGAAAGCCCAGGACCAGUACCAGGCACAGGGUCAGUGGCGACAGGCGCAGACAGGAAUGAUGUGUGGACUUGCCAUGGUGUGCAUGAGCCU
rnacentral:lncRNA from 10 species